rnacentral:rRNA from 1 species
UACGUAGGUGGCAAGCGUUGUCCGGAUUACUGGGCGUAAAGGGCUUGUAGGCGGUCCGCUAAGUCUGGUGUGAAAUCUCCCGGCUCAACCGGGAUAGGUCAUCGGAUACUGGCGGACUAGAGACGGGUAGAGGAAAGCAGAAUUCCCGGUGUAGCGGUGAAAUGCGUAGAUAUCGGGAGGAAUACCAGUGGCGAAGGCGGCUUUCUGGGCCUGUUCUGACGCUGAGGAGCGAAAGCGUGGGGAGCAAACCGG